UGGGCUGCUCAUCCUCUGAGUCACUAUAUGUGUACAGGGGAUUUGGUCUAAAGAAAAAAAGUUGAAAACGGUCAUAAGUAAUUACAAAUGUGCUUUUGGAAUAUUUUUUCCUAAAGUUACAGUUUGAUUUAUAACAACACACACAGGAAACGGAGAUGUGCAAGAAGGUACAGUAUACAAGGGAUUUUUGAAGUGCACAAGUGUACACGGCUUUGCAUUUAUAAAAAGUUUACAAGCUUCCACUUUUUGGACUAUAUUAUGUGGUGAUAUUGCAGAUAAACAGGAAACAGAUAAUUACAAUAUAUUUCAUAGUCACUACAAAACUUGAUCUAUUGAUUGAACUAAAUAAUAAAUAAUAGCUUAAAAUGUAUAUAGGCAACAAUUACAAGCAAACCCGUAUAUGUAAGCAUUUAAACACUGAAGAUAAUAAAAUUAACAGUAUUUUGUCUAAGUCUGCCAUUGUAGGAAUUCAUGGCACCGAGACAAAAACUUGGCGCACAGUGUGGCGUCAAAAUAGGCGCACACCUUUGACGCUGCGUUUUCUCCGUCUUCCUCGUCCACACGUAAAUGCUAAACGCAGUUUACGUGUGGACAAAAGGUGCAAACGCAAGUUAGGUGAGCGUGCAGCGUAAAGUUAGGUGAGUGUGCAGCGUAAAGUUUGAAUUGAGUGCGAAUCGAAGCGGGUGCUCUCCAAUCAUUAAAAGUAACAAAGUCAUUGAACACAUUUAUACAGUUACCUUUACGUUUAUCAAUCAUAUAUCACAGAUUUACAAUUUUUUGUAGUACUAUGCUAAAAAGCAACUACAGAGCGAAAGUCUGGGUCAAGCGCCGAGGCGACGGCAAGAACAAAGGAACCCUCGAAGCGUUAAAGCUAGCUUUGUAAGGGAAUAUAACGGAAAAGUAUGAAACGAAAAUGUUUUCUUUGUUGAUAGACUUUGUUUGCAGUGCAAUUUAUUUGUUGCCGGAUUGUAAGAUGAAAGUAGACACAAUUUCGGGCUCCCACAUUUUAUCCGAAACUUUACAUUAACAAGUUUGUUUGUUUUUUUUACUGUUAUUCAAAUGCAACCGUGGAAAUAACGAAUAGAACAAAAGUCAUUCAUUCUUACCUUAUACUAAUCGUGGUGCAGGCCAGUGCAGUGCAUGAACUGAUGCCUUCUCCGGUCAAUUCCGCUGAGAGUAAAUCUAAUGUCCCGCUCUACUGUACAAGACAAUGGUUACCUGGAGGGAUGUACCAAUGUGAUAGGGGUGCUGCGGAAUAGUCCAAGUGGUAGCAGCUUUAAUUUCCCGCUCAACCAUAAAUCGAUGGUUUUUCAACGUGAUUGUUGUCACCUUGUCAACUAUAAAUAGAUCAACAAUCAACGAUGACAGAACAACAGUGAAUCAAUGUUAUUUCAAUGUCAGUGUCAGGUUUCAUCAGUAUUUCAAUGUUGUUUCAACAUUGGUUUUGUGUUGACAUUUCAAUCCUGACGAUUCUGAUGGUUCAGAUGGAAAAUCAACAUCUGUUCAAUGUCUCCUUGCUAUCUGGG